rnacentral:rRNA from 1 species
AUUGAACGCUGGCGGCAGGCCUAACACAUGCAAGUCGAGCGAGCGGCGGACGGGUGAGUAAUGUCUGGGAAACUGCCUGAUGGAGGGGGAGAACUACUGGAAAAGGUAGCUAAUACCGCAUACCAUCAGAUGUGCCCAGAUGGGAUUAGAUAGUAGGUGGGGGAAAGGCUCACCUAGGCGACGAUACCUAGCUGGUCUGAGAGGAGGACCAGCAAAACGGGAACUGAAACACGGUCCAGACUCCUACGGGAGGCAGAGGUGGGAAAGAUUGCAAAAGGGGGGCAAGCCUGAUGCAGCCAUGCCGCGUGUAUGAAGAAGGCCUUCGGGUUGUAAAGUACUUUCAGCGGGGAGGCGUUACCCGCAGAAGAAGCACCGGCUAACUCCGUGCCAGCAGCCGCGGUAAUAC